GACCAACGCUGGCGGCAUGCCUAACACAUGCAAGUCGAACGGACAGAACAGGGAAGCUUUUCGGAGUGGAACUGGAAAGUUAGUGGCGGAUGGGUGAGUAACGCGUGGACAACCUACCUUGUAAAGGGGAAUAACCUCGAGAAAUCGAAGCUAAUACCCCAUAAUAACCUUGCUUCGCAUGAAGUAAGGAGGAAAGGCGGCCUUAGCGCUGUCGAUACAAGAUGGGUCCGCGUCUGAUUAGCUAGUUGGUGAGGUAAAGGCUCACCAAGGCGACGAUCAGUAGCCGGCCUGAGAGGGUGAACGGCCACAUUGGGACUGAGACACGGCCCAAACUCCUACGGGAGGCAGCAGUGGGGAAUCUUCCGCAAUGGGCGAAAGCCUGACGGAGCAAUGCCGCGUGAGUGAAGAAGGCCUUCGGGUUGUAAAACUCUGUCAUUAUCGAAGAGAGAGUGUUGUAGUAACUGACAAUACUAGGACGGUAGAUGAGGAGGAAGCCCCGGCUAACUAUGUG
rnacentral:rRNA from 1 species